rnacentral:rRNA from 1 species
AAUAGAUACCCCGGUAGUCCACGCUGUAAACGUUGGACACUAGGUGUGGCGGUCUGAUCAACGACUGCCGUGCCGAAGCUAACGCAUUAAGUGUCCCGCCUGGGGAGUACGGCCGCAAGGCUAAAACUCAAAGGAAUUGACGGGUCCCCGCACAAGCGGCGGAGCAUGCGGCUUAAUUCGAUGCAACCCGAAGAACCUUACCUGGGUUUGACAUCAUGGGAAAAGCCGUGGAAACACGGUGUCCGUAAGGGCCCAUGACAGGUGGUGCAUGGCUGUCGUCAGCUCGUGUCGUGAGAUGUUGGGUUAAGUCCCGCAACGAGCGCAACCCUCGCGACCAGUUACGUGGGUGUCUGGUCGGACUGCCGGUAGCAAGCCGGAGGAAGGCGGGGAUGAUGUCAAGUCAGCAUGGCCCUUACGUCCUGGGCUACACGCACGCUACAAGUGGGGGGGACAACGGGUAGCCAAACCGCGAGGUGGAGCGAAUCCCCAGUAAACCCCUCCGUCAGUUCAGAUUGUGGGCUGCAACUCGCCCGCAUGAAGGCGG